CCUACGGGAGGCAGCAGUGAGGAAUAUUGGUCAAUGGGCUUACGCCUGAAUCAGCCAAGUCGCGUGAGGGAAGACUGCCCUAUGGGUUGUAAACCUCUUUUGUCAGGGAGCAAAUGGCGCUACGUGUAGCGUUAUCGAGAGGACCUGAAGAAAAAGCAGCGGCGAACUCCGUGCCAGCAGCCGCGGUAAGACGGAGGAUCCGUGCGUUAUCCGGAUUUAUUGGGUUGAAAGGGAGCGUAGGGGGAUUGUUAAGGCAGUUGUGAAAGUUUGCGGCUCAACCGUAAAAUUGCCGUUGAAACUGGCAGUCUUGCGUACAGUCGCGGUGGGCGGAAUUCGUGGUGUAGCGGU
rnacentral:rRNA from 1 species